AGUGAACGCUGGCGGUAGGCCUAACACAUGCAAGUCGAACGGCAGCACAGUAAGAGCUUGCUCUUACGGGUGGCGAGUGGCGGACGGGUGAGGAAUACAUCGGAAUCUACUUUUUCGUGGGGGAUAACGUAGGGAAACUUACGCUAAUACCGCAUACGACCUACGGGUGAAAGCAGGGGAUCUUCGGACCUUGCGCGAUUGAAUGAGCCGAUGUCGGAUUAGCUAGUUGGCGGGGUAAAGGCCCACCAAGGCGACGAUCCGUAGCUGGUCUGAGAGGAUGAUCAGCCACACUGGAACUGAGACACGGUCCAGACUCCUACGGGAGGCAGCAGUGGGGAAUAUUGGACAAUGGGCGCAAGCCUGAUCCAGCCAUACCGCGUGGGUGAAGAAGGCCUUCGGGUUGUAAAGCCCUUUUGUUGGGAAAAAAAAGCAGCAGGUUAAUACCCCGCUGUUCUGACGGUACCCAAAGAAUAAGCACCGGCUAACUUCGUG
rnacentral:rRNA from 1 species